rnacentral:lncRNA from 1 species
UUUUGUGGUCUUCUACCCAGUUUUCGGUAGUUGUAAAUCCUAUGUUGUUGUUGUAUCCCUAGCGGAGUCUGUGCUUUCUUGUGGAUAAUUGCCGUAUGCUAGCAAUUUUAUCCUCAGCCAGAGUUUUUGGUCUUCUACCCCGUAUUCGGUAGUUGUAAAUCCUAAUUUCUCCCUUUUGCAGAGUUAACCUUGUUGUUCAUCCUAACC